AACGAACGCUGGCGGCGUGCCUAACACAUGCAAGUCGUGCGGGAAAGUGGGGGCAACCCCAUGAGUAGAGCGGCGCACGGGUGAGUAACACGUAGGUAACCUACCCGAAGGACUGGGAUAACCUGUCGAAAGAUGGGCUAAUACCCGAUAAGACCACGAAAGCCUCGGCUUUUGUGGCAAAAGGUGGCCUCUGCUUGCAAGCUACUACCAACGGAUGGGCCUGCGCGCCAUUAGCAGUUGGUGAGGUAACGGCUCACCAAGGCGAAGAUGGCUAGCUGGUCUGAGAGGAUGACCAGCCACACUGGGACUGAGACGCGCCAGACUCUACGGGAGCAGCAGUGGGGAAUCUUGCGCAAGUGGGCGAAAGCCUGACGCAGCGACG
rnacentral:rRNA from 1 species